AGGUUCUGCAGCUUCGACGACCCUGGUGAGUCCACGGUCGUGCUCAACUCCCGCCAGCAGGGCGCGAAGGAGUUUCCCCUUGAACCCCAUGACCUGAUUCUCAGGUUGAUUUGAACAAUGUAUAAGGUCGCCACUGCUGGCCGAGUUGGAUACCCAUUUGUGGUCCUUUUUUCCUUGUUCUUGUUGUACAGAUGACAGUUCAUGGAUUUGUGAUAUGAUUGCUUCAGUGAUGAUUUUUGCAGAACCACAUGCCGAUGGUCCACUUGCCUUUGGAAUUAAAGAUCAGCUUACUACACUAACCAGAUAUCAUAUAUAAAUACUCUACUCUACAGCAGUAUGAAGGGAUUUAAGGGCUAGCAAAUAUGUUAAAGAUAGAUACAGAGAAAGGCGAUUAGGGGAGUGGAUUCCGAUAAUGAUGCGGAAAAAAAUUCCUUUGGGUCGAACACAUACUCUUGAAAGAAAGCAAGAAGCUUCUUGGUAAUGGAGAUGGUUCUCUUAUAUUUGGUAGGAGUCAGAAAAAAUCCAGCAUGGAAAAACACCACAUUCAACACGGUGUAAUUAUGAUGAUCUAAACGAGUAUUCCUGGACUUCUGAUUGUUUCUCACUGCCAUGACCAAUACGGGAUGAUGGUGGCUUCUUCAAAUAUGUGCAAGAUAUGUCCUCUUUAGCAUCACUGGAUUUUUGAAAACGUUAUAUCUGAAUUUAGAGUGCACUUCUGCAAAAAAGAUUUUGUCCUGAUUACUAUUUCGAUUUUAUUUCUGUAGGCACUGUGAAAUGAUCGAAUGCCGCUAAACAUUUUGGAGGUUUGUUGUAGGGUGCUCUACCAGGUAUUUUGUUCAGAUAUGCUCUUUCUCUGCCUGCCAUUUUAGCCAUCAGUUGAGAAUUAUAUUCAGGUUAGCAAACAAGUUUCUUGAUACUUAUAAGGCGAACAUACUUAUAAGGUGAACAUACAAAAGAAAUAAAAUCUUGAUGACUUGUGAGCUUUGCCUAUUAACUUAAAAUUAACGCUGACAAGUUUCUUGUUCUGUACCAUGGUAAGUCAUGAGUCUGCUGUCUUGAUACAAGGAAAUAAGGAAAUAUUAGUUUUCUGCUUAUUCGUUCAUAUCUUAUUACUGAAAGGAUUGCCAGUGUAUUAGUAAUUCAAGUUUCACCUUUCGCAGUGUAGUCUGGAAUAUUUGUAAUUAGCAAGAUGAACUCCUAUCAACUACUCCCAAGG